rnacentral:rRNA from 1 species
AUGCACGCUGGCGGCGUGCUUCACCCCUGCAAGUCGCACGGAAAGGCUCCUGCUUGCAGGGGUACUCGAGUGGCGAACGGGUGAGUAACACGUGGGUGAUCUGCCCUGCACUUCGGGAUAAGCCUGGGAAACUGGGUCUAAUACCGGAUAGGACGAUGGUUUGGAUGCCAUUGUGGAAAGUUUUUCGGUGUGGGAUGAGCUCGCGGCCUAUCAGCUUGUUGGUGGGGUAAUGGCCUACCAAGGCGUCGACGGGUAGCCGGCCUGAGAGGGUGUACGGCCACAUUGGGACUGAGAUACGGCCCAGACUCCUACGGGAGGCAGCAGUGGGGAAUAUUGCACAAUGGGCGCAAGCCUGAUGCAGCGACGCCGCGUGGGGGAUGACGGCCUUCGGGUUGUAAACUCCUUUCGCUAGGGACGAAGCGUUUUGUGACGGAACCUGGAGAAGAAGCACCGGCUAACUACGUG